rnacentral:rRNA from 1 species
GAUUUCUGGCUUGUACCAUUUGGCCGGCCACGGUUUCGUGUGUUAGUGCUUGAUGUUCUGGCCAUCCUUCCAAAUGCUGCGCGUCCUUCUUCACUGAUGGGCGCGCGGUUUUGGAUCUUUUACUUUGAAUAAAUUAGAGUGUUUCAAGCAGGCUUUAUGCUAUGAAUACAUUAGCAUGGAAUAAUGAUUUAGGACUUCGGUUCUAUUUUGUUGGUUUCUAGGACUGAAGUAAUGAUUGAUAGGGACAGUUGGGGGUGCUAGUAUUCAGCGGCCAGAGGUGAAAUUCUCGGAUUCGCUGAAGACUAACUUAUGCGAAAGCAUU